UUGCCCUAAGUAACGGGCGAGUGAAGCGGCAACAGCUCAAAUUUGAAAUCUGGCCCUCGGGUCCGAAUUGUAAUUUGUAGAGGAUGCUUUUGGUGAGGUACCUUCCGAGUUCCCUGGAACGGGACGCCAUAGAGGGUGAGAGCCCCGUCUGGUUGGAUACCGAUCCUCUGUAAAGCUCCUUCGACGAGUCGAGUAGUUUGGGAAUGCUGCUCUAAAUGGGAGGUAUAUGUCUUCUAAAGCUAAAUAUUGGCCAGAGACCGAUAGCGCACAAGUAGAGUGAUCGAAAGAUGAAAAGCACUUUGAAAAGAGAGUUAAAAAGUACGUGAAAUUGUUGAAAGGGAAGCGCUCAUGACCAGACUUGGGCUUGGUUGAUCAUCCAGGGUUCUCCCUGGUGCACUCUUCCAGCCCAGGCCAGCAUCAGUUCGCUGUGGGGGAUAAAGGCUUUGGGAAUGUGGCUCCUCCGGGAGUGUUAUAGCCCAUUGUGUAAUACCCUGUGGUGGACUGAGGUUCGCGCAUCUGCAAGGAUGCUGGCGUAAUGGUCAUCAGCGACCCGUCUUGAAACACGGACCAAGGAGUCGUCUUCGUAUGCGAGUGUUCGGGUGUUAAACCCCUACGCGUAAUGAAAGUGAACGCAGGUGAGAGCUUCGGCGCAUCAUCGACCGAUCCUGAUGUUCUCGGAUGGAUUUGAGUAAGAGCAUACGGGGCCGGACCCGAAAGAAGGUGAACUAUGCCUGUAUAGGGUGAAGCCAGAGRAAACUCUGGUGGAGGCUCGCAGCGGUUCUGACGUGCAAAUCGAUCGUCAAAUAUGGGCAUGGGG
rnacentral:rRNA from 1 species